UACAGUCACUGAUUAAAUCCUAUUAAAAUGAAAUACUGUCUGUAUUCUAACUCAUUAUAUAUCCAAGUUCUGUCUUUCACUGAAGUUGCAGCUUUCUUUCUUUUCUUUUUUCUUUCCUGUGCACCACAGUAUACGUACGUGCUAGGCGCUCCAUUAUUGAUCGAGGCCAUCAUAUUGAAUAGAACAGUUAUUUGCACGCUGGGGAAAAUAUUUCACGAUGGACCUGUCAAUUCUUUACUUGUGGGUGAAACAGGUCUCAUAUACGUAAAUACGACUAGCUUCUACUGAUUAUAAAACAUACCGUACGAUUUGUUGUGAAUUAACUGUUGUUGUACUUUAAGUAGUUUAACCGCCACCCUUGUUUAAGAGCAACAUUUAAAAACACGUUUUUUUUUUUCAUCCUCAAGUAAUAAGUAAGUAGACUCGCCCAGCUUAAUCAAUCUAGACGCAUAAUCUAACUGUUAUAUAUAGAGCGCUUACUUCACCCGAUUUACAUUCGGAACAUAUUCACGCGUUUCGGGCUUUAUCGUAUGUUUAACAUGGUAUUUUUGAACCGUCCAAAGAUGCUGGAAAUGUUUGUCUCAUUGUUUAUUUUUUUU